UUGGGAAAGAAAUCCAGCCGGCUAAUACCUGGUUGGGAUGACGGUACCCAAAGAAUAAGCACCGGCUAACUUCGUGCCAGCAGCCGCGGUAAUACGAAGGGUGCAAGCGUUACUCGGAAUUACUGGGCGUAAAGCGUGCGUAGGUGGUUGUUUAAGUCUGUUGUGAAAGCCCUGGGCUCAACCUGGGAACUGCAGUGGAAACUGGACAACUAGAGUGUGGUAGAGGGUAGCGGAAUUCCCGGUGUAGCAGUGAAAUGCGUAGAGAUCGGGAGGAACAUCCAUGGCGAAGGCAGCUACCUGGACCAACACUGACACUGAGGCACGAAAGCGUGGGGAGCAAACAGGAUUAGAUACCCUGGUAGUCCACGCCCUAAACGAUGCGAACUGGAUGUUGGGUGCAAUUUGGCACGCAGUAUCGAAGCUAACGCGUUAAGUUCGCCGCCUGGGGAGUACGGUCGCAAGACUGAAACUCAAAGGAAUUGACGGGGGCCCGCACAAGCGGUGGAGUAUGUGGUUUAAUUCGAUGCAACGCGAAG
rnacentral:rRNA from 1 species